AUUUUGGGGCCUAAUCUACCUGUCACUGCAGUCAUUUCUUGUGAAACGGCUGAGUUAAGUGUGUUCGACGGUUUUGGUGAGCGCACUGUAAUUAAUCCUUAUUUCAGAAAUAUAACUAAUUUAGGAGCAGAAACUCCUCAACCGCUCGAUAACAGAUAACAUAUUUAAUAUAAAUUGAAAUCACAGUGUGUAAAAUGUGAUUGAAUUUAUGUGCAAUCAAACGAAAAAUAACAGAUUGUUACGAAACAACGAGUGAAUGAAUGCAUUGAAAAUACACGAAAAUAAAAAAUGUAAGAAUAGUAAAAGCAAAGAAAUUGGGCAGAAAAUAUGGCGAUAGCCGGAGAAUAUCCAAAUAAAAGAAGUGAAUGCUAAAUAAAAAAUAUAUAUUUUGAAGUUAUUUGGUGAAAUUCUAAAAAGUUGUGAGUUUCUGGUGCAUAAAAUCGAUUGUUAAUCAAAUAAAGCAUCGCAAUAUUUUUGGCGUUAUAAAAAAAAUAAAAAUUUGUUCUCUGCGGCGCGUGUGAUUAAUCAGACUCUUAUUUGUAUAUGUAUUUAAAUAUGUUGGAUACUCCUGCGCAUAAGAAGCGAAUUUGGGUGGACGGAUAAACGUUCAGAAUUAGUCAGACGGUAAACAGUAUGGCCGGUACCUUCUGUUGGAGCACUUUACAUUCAUUGGACAAAUAUUUAAAUAAAAACUAUAGUUUUAAGAUCCUUUAAAUUUUUGGUAGAUUAUCCCAUAAUGAAUAUUUUGAGAUGUUUAGUAAAGGAGUCAAAAGUUUUUUUGUUUAUUUGUUCAUACAUACAUAUAUAAAUGUACAUAUAAUUAGUGUAACGCCUACUUGUUCAUCGCAGUAAUGAUUAGACAUUAUAGCUCAAGUCGUCAUAUAUUUAGUGAGUUAUUAAUACAAUAAUAGGAAAUGGGAUUUAUUGAAAAUUAUUUGUUUAAUAAUUACUUUAUUUUAUGUAUUUGAUAAUUUUCACUAAAUAAGGAAUAGUCAAAUAAUAACACGAUUUCGAAAAUAGAUAUACAAAUAGACAUACAUACAUACUUCGUCGUGGUGUUUCUCAUAAACAAAAGUGCAACCGGUUUUUAUUAUGAUUUUUUUUUUUCGUCCUUAUUUUAUUUACGACUAAUAUUUGACUUUUAAUUGUAGUACGAGAUCACAACAAAAAUCGAAAAAUAGUUUAAGAGUAAAAAAAGCGUUUGGAAAAUAUCUAGAAAUAUUUCCGUUAAAGCAUAAAAAUAGGCUAUACCUUUAUAACGGUAUAUCAAUUCAAAUGCUUUAAAAAGUACACAUUUUAAUAUUAUUUGAGAAAUCCAUUCAUACACGCCGAUAGCCGUACAUAAGCGCUUUGAGAGCAGAGAUUGUGCGAGUACGCCAAGUGGCAGCCCAGUUGCUUGCCACAUGCAACUCAGCGGGUCAAUAAAAGUAUACACACACCGGCAUAUAUAUAACACAUGAUUUUUCAGGAAAUCGGCUGAAUAAUCAUGAGUCGUCCAACACAGCAACGCACAAUGCCACAACAGAAGCCGCCAAAGCAGUACCUUACCGAGCAGGAGGCCAUCGCGGCCUCCGAGCUCUUCGAUCUCUUCUGCGUCGCAACAACAAUGCGCCAGAUUUUGGGUUUGCAUCGUGACAUGUGCGACAUACUGGGCUUACGACCAGCCCCGAUCAAUGAAUUCUACCCGAUGUUGAAGGCGAAGAUUCGUUCGUGGAAAGCGCAGGCGCUAUGGAAGAAGUUCGAUGCACGUGCGGCGCAUCGCGUCUACGCGAAAGGAACAGCGUGCAAUGGCACGCAUGUGCUAGUCAUUGGCGCAGGUCCAUGUGGCAUGCGCACCGCCAUUGAGGCGCAGUUGUUGGGUGCGAAAGUCGUUGUGCUUGAGAAGCGCGAUCGCAUUACGCGCAACAAUGUGCUGCACUUGUGGCCGUUCGUCAUCACCGAUCUGCGCAAUUUGGGUGCAAAGAAAUUUUAUGGAAAAUUUUGUGCUGGUUCCAUAGAUCACAUAUCCAUUCGGCAGUUGCAAAUCAUAUUAAUGAAGGUUGCGCUGCUGUUGGGUGUCGAGAUACAUGAGAAUGUGUCCUUCGAGAGGACAAUUGAGCCAAGUGGCGAUGGCUUUGGCUGGCGCGCGGCUUUAACACCAGCGGAUCAUGUGGUUUCAUAUUAUGAAUUCGAUGUUUUAAUCGGAGCCGAUGGUAAACGUAACACACUGGAAGGAUUUAAACGAAAGGAGUUUCGUGGAAAGCUGGCUAUUGCAAUUACAGCCAAUUUUAUAAAUAAGAAAACAGAGGCAGAGGCUAAAGCGGAGGAGAUAAGCGGCGUGGCGUUUAUAUUCAAUCAGUCCUUUUUCAAGGAGCUAUAUGAGAAAACGGGCAUUGAUUUGGAGAAUAUCGUCUAUUAUAAGGACGAGACACACUACUUUGUUAUGACCGCGAAGAAACACAGUCUCAUUGACAAAGGUGUUAUAUUACAGGAUUUCUCCGAUCCGGCGGAACUGCUCGCUUCAGCCAACGUAAGCGCCGAAAAGUUGCUCGAUUAUGCGCGAGAAGCGGCCGAAUUCUCCACAAAGUACCAAAUGCCAAAUCUUGAGUUCGCUGUGAAUCAUUAUGGCAAACCCGAUGUCGCCAUGUUCGAUUUCACAUCUAUGUUCGCCGCAGAAACUUCCUGCCGGGUGAUGUUGCGGCACGGCCAUCGUUUGUUGCAAUGCUUGGUGGGUGACAGCCUGCUGGAGCCCUUCUGGCCCACUGGUUCGGGCUGUGCGCGUGGUUUCCUUUCCAGCAUGGAUGCCGCGUAUGCGACAAAACUCUGGUCAAACCCGCGUAAUAGUAUUCUGGGCGUUGUGGCGCAGCGUGAAAGUAUAUACAGGCUACUCAAUCAAACCACACCGGAGAAUUUACAGCGAGACACAGGUUCUUAUACGGUAGAUCCAGCCUCGAGGUAUCCCAAUCUGAAUCGCACGGCCGUCAGUCCCUACCAGGUGAAAACGCUCAUUGACUCGGAUGAUCCAAAAGUAUUCGAGCAGCCAAUAGCCGAAAUUAUAACAACGCCAGCGUUAGCUGAGGCCCCAGCAUUGUUGCGUAAAUCCCGUCGUAGCACAGAUAUUGUGCCUGAAGCUCUGCUACAUUGGGUUUGCACUCAGCUCCAUAUGUACGAUUUCGUAAAGGAAUUACAGGAACCUGCCGACAUACUUAAAAAUGGAAAAUCACUAUGCGCCUUAAUCAGCCGUUUUCGGCCAGACUUAAUCGAUUACUCAGCAACACGUGACUUAACGCUGGCUGAACGUAAUGAAGUUGCCUUCAGAAUAUUAGAAGCAGAAUACCAACUGCCACGCAUCAUGAGCGGUGAGAAGUCUGUAGAUCUAGAGAAAGUAGAUACACGUCACUGGCUACACUAUUUGAACCAAGUGCGUGAAGUGUUUCGCGGUGAAGUGCCGUAUCUGAAACAUCCAAAGAUGGACAUCUCAGAGUUGCGCGAAAAAUACCGUAUUAACAACGCGCAUGCGCAGCCAGACUUCUCGAAAUUGUUACAACUUUCGACUAAGCCGAAAUAUCCGAAAACAAAGAGUCCCAUUGAGGAUAUGGUGGACGUGCCGCAAGUGGUGCAACGUCGCUCGGUGUUGGAUGAGGAGCGUGUAAAACGGGUGCGCAGAAAUGAGCCGGCUGCAGCUAAUUCGCCACAACAAGGUCAAAACGAUACACCGCGUCGUGCCAAGAAGAGAAGAAAUGUCGAGAAGGCUGCUAAUAUUGAUCGCAAUCGCGGCGAUAUACCAUCGGCCAUGCCGCGAAAUAAUCCAGAUGAACAGUUUAGUGAUCGCAUCAAAUCUAUGGAGCAACGCAUAAGUUCGAAGACAGCUUGCGGCAACGAUAAGAAGCCCAAAGAUUUAAUGCGUGCCAUUGGCAAGAUCGGCAGCAACGAUUGGAAUGUGCGCGAAAUCGAAAAGAAAAUCGAACAAUCAAAACGAACUGAAAUACAUGGUCCGAAAGGACGUGAAAAGGUGCCGAAAUGGAGUAAAGAACAAUUUUUGGCUAGACAAAAUAAAAUGGCAAAACCAACGCGCCAAGAAUCUGUGGAGGAGAAGUUCAAAGAAAUUGAUCAAACCUUAAAGAAUUUGGAUAAACAGCUGAAGGAGGGUUCCAUACUGGAAGUUGGUGAACGCGGCCGCAACAAGGUCGCAUCAAUUGCUGGUCAAUUUGUUAAGAAAGACGAUAAAACGAGCGACGAAAAGAAUCCUAAUCCCGCCGCUGUCAAUAGCGUGCCGAAAUCCAGCGCUAAGGUCGCGUUGGCAUUUAAAAAGCAAGCCGCUUCCGAAAAGUGCCACUUCUGCAAGCAAAUCGUUUACUUAAUGGAAAAAAUCACAGCCGAAGAUCUCGUAUUUCAUCGUUCGUGUCUGAAGUGUCAUCACUGUCACACAAAUUUGCGUCUCGGCGGCUAUGCAUUCGAUCGCGACGAUCCAAAUGGACGUUUCUACUGUACGCAACAUUUUAAGCUGCCAGCAAAGGCUAUACGUCCUGUAGUCAGAAAACCAGGUCAAAGGAAGCCCACUCAGCAACAACAAGCUGCCGCCGCUGCAGCUGCUGCCGUCGACAUUACCGUCACAACAGCGGACGCUGCAAGUGGAAUCACACAAAUAGACCUACCCAAAACGCCUGAUAAACUUCGUGGCCCCGCUGACAGCGUUGUACAGCUCGAUUUAUUGGAUCGUGGCCAAACACCGGAACGUAUCGAAUUCGAGAAUACCGAUGCCAUGUCCGAUGGUGAACCUUCGGAGGAGCAUAUACUCGAUGAGCACGAGUGGUCGGGCAGAAAUUUCUUGCCUGAAUCUAAUCAAGAUUCAGAGUCGGAUCUCUCUAGUUCUGAUGACUCGGAUACCGAGUCCGAUGCAGAUAUGUUCGAAGAGGCAAAUGACUCACCAUUGGCCGCACAAACAUUACAAUUGGCCACCGAUUGGAUUGGCAAACAGCAUUAUUCCGAUAGUGAUGAUUCGGAUGAUUUUUAUGAUUCGAGUGACGGAAUUGCGGAUGACGAUGGUAAGGACGAUACCGAAGGUGAAGAUUUCAAGAAGGCUCGUGAACUACGUCGAGAAGAAGUGCGCCUACAGCCACUGCCCGCGAACUUGCCCACUGACACGGAAACUGAGGUUCAAAGCGAAUCUGAGUCGACAUCUCCCGAGGAGGUCGAACUCAAUUCAGCCACGGAAAUUUCCACUGAUUCGGAGUUCGAUCACGAUGAAAUAAUACGUGAGACCCCUAAAAUAUUCAUCGAUGAUACUCACCUCAGAAAACCAACAAAAGUUCAAGUAAAAUCUACCGUUAUUGCUUCGACUGCCAGUCAACGACAUCACAUACCAUCCACCAACAUUGCUAAUGCCCACAACUUGAGAGGCAGUUAUCUGCAGAAGUAUCAAGUGAACCCACCACAACCACAAUUCAAACCACUUGUGCAGGUGGAUCCCACGCUCUUAACAAAAACCCGUACUCCCUUACAAAAUCCACGUCCCGGCGAUUAUCUGCUCAAUAAAACGGCCAGUACGGAAGGCAUCGCCUCAAAGAAAAGUUUAGAGCUCAAGAAACGUUAUUUGCUUGGUGAACAGGGCAAUGGCAAUAAGAUACAAAAAUCUGGCUCUACUUCUGUCCUCGACUCACGUAUACGUAGUUUCCAGUCGAAUAUAUCCGAAUGCCAAAAACUACUGAACCCAGGUAGCGGCAUUUCAGCCAGCAUGAAAACAUUUUUAGAUCGUACAAAGUUAGGCGAAAGUACAAACAACGAUUUGAUGCGUUCGGCAACAACAAACAUUUUGAACGAUCUAAAAGUUGAAAUUACGAUACAGAAGGCCUCGUCCACUGCCUCGACGGACAAUGAGAAGGAAAACGUUUUUGUGAAUAGUAAAAAUGAGCUGAAUAAAGGCAUGGAAUAUUCUGAGACUGUUAAUACGACUCUAGUCGAAACUGUCAACAACAAAAAAUCACCUUCAACACCAACUAAUAGUCACACCAUUUUGGGCACAAUAGAUUUAGUUACCCCAGACAAGGAAAAGCCAAAGUCUAUAAUAGAUAUUACGAAUGUAGACAUACCAGCGAAAAUGUUGGAAUCGAAUAUCGAUUUCAUUGAGAACAUUAAUGUUGACGAUGCUGAAAAGAAACCUAAUUCCCCUGAAAACUAUGAUGCAUUACUCACUGCCGAUAGUAAUAAAAUUAUAGAUCUUACAUGUGAAUCACCAGUAAAAAGUGACAACACCAUAAUAGAAGAACUGAAGCCAGAUGUUUCGAAAGAUGUUAAAGAAAGAAUACCCGAUUUACUAGGUCAUAUUGGACAGGAAGUAAAAUCAGCAGGUAAGACAACACCAUUGCGGCAUGCAGAGGAUCAACAACAACUUUUGAGUCACUCUUGCGACGAGGAGAAAAUGGAUUCACCAGAAAAACUCGAAGAACUUUUCGAGAACGAUACGUUACAAAUACAAGUGCCGAACAUACCUUGGGGCACACGCAAAACGGACACAAUGUCAUCAACCGAAGGCUCCAGCUGCACAUCUGGCUCAUCGAGCAUUGAAGAUAUACAACACUAUAUAUUAGAGUCAACGACUAGUCCGGAUACACAAACCGGCGGUAUGGCCAUUGGACAUCAAGUGCCACGUGUAGAAAUUCAUGACACAUCAGGAACACUAAUGCAAAUUGAUAGUCUGAUGAUAAUUGAUGGUAAAUAUAUUGGUGAUCCAGAAGAUCUGAAAUACUUGGAAAUACCCGCGGGCAUAGUUGUGCCUGAGCCGCCCACCAUCAAGACAUCGGAGAUCGAGGAUGAAACCGAAGCUGAUGUGGAACCAGUUACUGCAACACCCGAACCAAUAGAGUGUACGGUGAUCGAGGCUGAAACAAAUAAAUUAGAUAAAGAUGAAGAGACAGAGGAUGCGUAUACGGAAGAACAAUUACCGCCAUUACCUGCGAAAGGUCCGCCAUUGCCAGAACGGGGGCCGCCAAAUAUAAAGACAUCUAACCUUAAAUUCGAUACUAAAAACGAAAAUAAGGUAGAAAGUCUUAAACAUCUUCCUUUAAUCGUCGAACAAACAGUGGAGCAUACAAAAGCGGUGAAGCCACUUACGUUAAAUUUGAGUACUGUUCAAAAAUCACCAAACACGCCCACAACACCUACAGUCACAAACGCUUGCUCUGCUAUUGACCGCACACCAAAUUCACCGCUUGUGGACAGUGAUAUAACACCGACUGGCGAACUAAUGUCGCGCGGAUCCGACUCAGAAACCGAAUUGACUGGAACCGGUCAGGCGCUAACUGAAACCGAGUUGUCGGACUGGACAGCGGACGAUUGUAUUUCCGAGAAUUUCAUUGAUAUGGAAUUCGUGCUGAACUCUAACAAGGGAACUAUUAAACGUAAUAAAAAAGAGAAAAGACGUAUGUCUGCAACUUCGAAAUUGCCGACCACUAUUGAAAUGCUGGGUGAGAUAAACAAAACAGCGCCGGUUGCGGAAUUUGAGGGCAUACUGAAAUCUAUCGAUAUUGAUGAUAUCGAAUUUAUGGAUACCGGUUCUGAGAGUUCAUGUGCGGAAGGAUAUUCUGCUACCAACACAGCACUAUUGCGGAAUCGCGGCUACGUGGAGUUUAUCGAAACCACACCAAAGCAAACACCUACGCACAAAACAAAUACUUUUAAAUCUGCAGCUAAUACACACAAGCCAGUUGCUGCCAAGCGUGAUGAGAAACUUGGUAUAGAUUACAUUGAACAGGGAGCUUAUAUCUUAAAAAACGACGAUCAUGAGCAUGAUAUGCUUAAGACCCCUGUGAAUGAAGAGCCACAUUUGGUAGCAUCGCUGGCGGAAAAGUCGCAAACCACAGGUCCGCCGUCACUCAUGACACAAUCACUGACCGAUUCCAGUACACUUAAUGACCUGGAGGAUGACAGUCUCUUCACAGCAACACCAAACUCUCAAAUUCAGUUAUCGACCGCCACUACUACUAAGACCACAACGGAAGAGAGUGAAGCAUUAACCGUAGUAACCAGCCCGCUUGACUCAUCUUCACCAAAAGUAGCCGAUGUGCUCAACAGUACUUAUAUUGUAAAUAAAGGCGCUGAAUUGAACACUGGUUCCACGCCCAGCAGUUCAGAUAAGAAUCCAAAAACCUCACAGUCAACAUGCACAACAGCGAGUAGUUCCACUGCCUCUUCCAAUAAAGUAAUACCUCUACAUAGUGUCUCACAAGAAAAUGUUGCACCGUCGGCGCCUGCACCGAAAGCAGCACCACGUAAACCCUCAAAUGAGCUAUCCUAUGAGGAAUGUGUGCGUGCGUUGCAGCAAAAAAUUACACAAAUUAGUACGGCUCGUGAUUCCGAUCUGCGCAAACAAAGGCGAAAGAGUUCCAAGGGUGAAAUGCCCGCCGGAAAUGCUCAAACUGUGAUAGAAGCAACACCAGUCGAAUCGGAAAACGUGAUUGUCAAUAAUGCUUGUCUAACGGCAACUGCCAGUCCUUCCGCAGCGGCGACACAAAUCCACAAGGUACCUGAAAUUCCGACAUUAACACGCAAGCUAGAGGAGAUCACUAAAGAGCGCACCAAGCAGAAGGACCUGAUACAUGACCUAGUCAUGGACAAACUACAAUCAAAGAAACAGUUAAAUGCUGAAAAACGCUUGCAUCGCAGUCGCCAACGCACUAUGCUAACAAGCGGUUACGCAAGUGGCUCUAGUCUAAGUCCUACACCGAAAAUCGCGGCAGCAACCACAACUACCGACACCAAUUGCACCAGCCGUGCGCACUAUCAUGAAUCCACAGCAGCGACGCCGUCGACGACUUUAGCAAGGGACACAGAAGAACGUUCAAACUGCUCAAAUUUCAGAGAUAGCAUACCACUACAAAAGUCAUCGACAUAUGUAUCGGCCUAUGGAAUGUCCGGCGGCUCGCCAACCCGCAUUAUUGGUUACCAUCAACGACCCUUCAGCGAACACUUGACCAGCGAGCAACUGGAUGCAUUCGAGAGAUACAAAUUGACAAAAACUCCAUCGUUUUCGUACGGCUUACCGAAUCAAUCUAGCAAAAUAACAUUGAAGAAUGAAAAUGCUUACAACUUUGUGACACCAGUUGCACCUGCGCGUCAUAGUCGUAAUCAAAGGCCCUUAAUUUCUACCUUAAGUGUAGAUAGCUCACUUUCGGCGUCGACUGAGAAUUUACGCACCGAAGCACGCGCUCGUGCUCGACUCAAAUCGAACACUGAACUCGGUCUCAGCCCAGAGGACAAAAUGCAAUUAUUGCGCCAACGUUUGCAUCUCGAACACUUGGAAACCAAAAAUAACACUGCUACCACACUACAUUCACAAGUUCCACUCAAAUCACCAAACGAUACGGAAGAACAGGGCAUAUGUGAUCGCCGGUUGAGCGCAUCGAAGAGUGUGAACGAUUUAGCUUACUUGACGAGCAAACAAUCGGAAUUAUCUCCCGAUGUCAAUUCGAAUACAAAACCAACCGGCGCCACUGCCGAUUUCACAUCUGAUCCAAAUUUGCUACUCUCUUCCACCUCCAUUCAGUCCAGCAGUGGAAGCAUCAAUAACAAAGUGGCGGCCAAAGGCAAGACCAGUCGCAGGCAAAAGGAUCCCGAACGUCGUAAGAGUUUGAUACAAUCAUUAUCCAGCUUCUUUCAUAAGGAGAAAAAGGACACUGGUAACGGUGGUGGUGGUAGCGCAACUAGCGUAGUUGGCUCUGCACAGUCAGAGCGUCCGGGAACUAGUGGCAACAAUGGCACAACAGCUUCGGGCGGCAUUGAUAUGGGCGUUUUUAGCCGCUUCCGCAUAUCGCCCAAAACUAAACAGAAAUCCAAGUCUUGCUUCGAUGUCAGGAGUAUCGGUUUUGGUAAUAAAUAGAUUUUAUUGCACAUGUAGGGUAAAGGAGAAAGUUCGUGUGUUCACCUUGACACUUAGCGACUUCAUACAUAUGCGUAUGUAUGUAUGUAUGUUUGAGUGUCAGAGGUGAACAUUUGCAAUACGUCUUUUUUAAACUCUACAAUUCAGAACAAUCCACUCCACAACACUUCUUCUACUCCAUCCACUUGCUUGUGGGCACAAAUGAGAUACAACUAUUUUAUUUUUAUUUUAGUGAAAUAUAUUAAAGUUAAAAAAUAUAAUAUUAUUAUUGCUCUAUAGUUAUGUUUUUUUCUUUAGUUUAUGAAGUAUUUAUCAUUUAUAUACAUACAUAUAUACAUACAAAUAUUAUACACUUUUUUAAUAACACAAAUAUAAGCGAUUUAUAUAAAGAAAAUUUACAUAUCCAUAUAAUACAUAUAUAUGUAUACUAGCAUAGGUCGUACGUACAUACUGGAAUAUGUAUAUAUGUGCCAUACAAUGAAAUGUAUAAUGUCAGCCAUAAAUCGAAAUAAAGUCAACGAUUACGUAAAUAUAUAUUUGCUUGAAUCCAUAUCUUUUUAUUUUUAUUUAUAAAUUAUAUUUAAAAAAAAUUCAUCACAUUCAAAAUGAUUCGACAUGCAUGCUUGCACCCGCCUAUAUACAAUUAAUAUAAAUCGGCAUGAAAAAGGUGUUUUUUACAAUUUUCAAUAAUCAUUUUAAUGAUAAAGAAUUAUUAUGAAUUUGAGGUUAUGAGGCGGUACUGCGUCGACAACUUUUUUUAGUUUAUUACUUACAUUUGUUAUAUUUUUAUGUUUUAUAAUAAUUAUUAUUUUACAUUUAAGUUUGAUUUCAAAUAAAUUAUUAUUUUUUAAUCAUAAAGCAAUUUUAUGUUAUGAAUUCGGUUUCGUUUGGGAGUUUGGAUGCAUGUAUGUAUAUGUUACUUUUGUAUAUAUGGUAUUAUUGCUAAAUGAAAUGAAACAUAAAUAUAUAUUUGUAUAAAUAGUUAAUUCGUGUAUAUACUGAUCAAUUUUCAUCUUGUUAACACUUCUUCAAAUCUUAUAAGGGCUCAACUUGAGUGCGAGUUGAACAAAUUAUUAACUACAAACGGUUAAGCUUUUCGUUACAGGCCAAUUUAUAUAUACUGAACAGGGUCUGUUAAGUUUGCCACCAAGUUUGUAAGAUCCAGAAGGAAAAUUCGGAGACUCUAUAAAGUAUAUACAUAAGUAGCAUGACGAGCUGAGUCGAUUUAGCACCGUCAAUCUGUCUGUCCCUCCGUCCGUCUGUCUGUAUAUAGGCGAACUAAUCUCUCAGUUUUUCAGCUAUCGAUCUGAUCCGAUCUGGAUUUUGUACACGUCCAUUUCUUGCCAAGAAGCUGCAGCCGAAGUUAACGUUUUUUAUUAUUUUAAAUGACUUGAGUUCGUACUUGAGAAGUCACCAUAAACUUUCAAAAAACCCAACUUUUGCUUUCUAUUCAAAAUGAUAGAUGCAAUUUCUUUUAUAUACAUAUAUAUUUGUGAAACAAAUAUUUGAGUGGUAUAGUAAAUUAUAAACAACGUCUUCAAUGUUCACUGUAAUUGUUGUUAUUAUUUUUAAUUUGGCGCAUGUAAUUGUUUAUAUUGAAUUAUUUCGCUUGCAUUUUCUGUUUUUGGAGGAAAUAUACACUAAUUUUCAUAUUGAUGUACAGAUAUUAAGCUUGGCGUAGAGCUAGUUGGCGCUAAGUUGUAACAACACAAUCUCAUGCCUCAUUUCCGAUAGCUAAACUAAAAUGUGCAAUAUUACUAAAAUUUAAAAUCAUCAUGUUUUUUAAUUUCACGCCGCUGACAAUGCUGCUGCAUUUUGCUAUGAAACAUCAUUGCGCGCACGGCUUAAAAAACAUCACCGAAACAAAUACAUACAAACAAUAAUAACAAAUAACAACAUUAAAAUUUAAAAAAAUAUACAAAAAAAAUUAAUAUAAUUGAAAAUCACUUUUAAAACCAAAACAAUUUUUGAAAUAAAUUUAUAUCUAAUUGGAAAAAUAAAUAAAAACAAAAAACACGCCAUUAGGACAAAGACGACUAUCUCUUUGAAGCCCAAUUACACAACAACACUGGAUUAUCAAAUGCGAGCUCAUCAAAUAGCAAUAUACAUUUGAACACAACACCAACAAAGAGCGGCAACAAAAAGUCAUCAAUAGCGGCGCUCUCAUCAUCCAGUCCACAAUUGUUUAUCCACAGGCCGAAAUAUGUGGCGACACAUGACAUCGACGAGCCGGCACCACCGCCCAUUCCUCCUUUGCCACUCAAUUACCAGAGAUCCGAUGAUGAGAGCAACGCAACCGAAACACGUGAGCAGAAGCGGCAGCGUGCCAUAUCGAAGGCUGUUCGACAAGCUGAGCUCAAGCGACUCAGAAUCGCUCAGGAGAUUCAGCGUGAGCAGGAGGAAAUCGAGGUGCAAUUGAAGGAGUUGGAGGCGCGUGGCGUUCUAAUUGAGAAGGCAUUGCGCGGUGAGAGUGAACAGCAUAACAGCAAUUUUGACACAACUAAUAUCGGCAGCAAUGAUGAAAAACUACUCAAGGAGCUAUUGGAGAUCUGGCGCAAUAUAAAACAACUUAA